CGGUGAAAGUAUGUGUUUACACCUCAGUUCAGAGUGUAACAGCAGGUUCCUGGCUUGGCUGCUUAAUGCUGCAUGCGAUAUCCUGGUAAACAGUCAUAGAAUUUUGGAGCUUGAAAGGAACCUCAGAAUGAUUCAUAUAAUCAUUUAUUAGAUCAGGAGCUUUGAGGGAUCUCUUCCAACCUCUCUCCAGUGUGGAAAUCAGUUCUGUAGCGCAUGUAGCGAAUCACUUUCCAGCCAUAGUAGUGUACCCGCAAUGCGGCUCACUCCUCAUGAGGGAGCCUGUUUCAUUGUUAGAGCACAACCUAAUUAAGUUAUUGGUUCUGAAACUGAAGCAGACUUACAAAGGACUUUUUAUGAACUUCAGUUAUGCAAAGCAAGAUUUAACAAAUUUUAUUCCCUGAAGCUCUAAUCACGACCAUGAUCAUGAGUGAUUCAAGCAAAUAACCUGGUACUGAGCACUCCAUUUGUACCAGGCACUGUCCUAAAUGCUUUAUAUGUGUAGAACUAACAUAACUCUCACAAUAACCUUAUGAGGCAGCUGCAAUUAUCCGCAUUUUAUAGAUAAGGGAACUGAAGCACAGAGAGACUUUCACAAUAUUAUACAACUAAUGAUUGUGGCAGAGCCAGGAUCCAAAACCUGUGCUCUUAAGUACUUAUAUUGCAGUGUGACCCAUGUAUAUACCUAUUGUAUAUAAGCAAACAGAUUGAUGUCUGUUUAUGAGUUAUGGUAUGAAAUAAU
rnacentral:lncRNA from 10 species